UACGAAGGGUGCAAGCGUUACUCGGAAUUACUGGGCGUAAAGCGUACGUAGGUGGUUUGUUAAGUCUGAUGUGAAAGCCCUGGGCUCAACCUGGGAAUUGCAUUGGAUACUGGCAGGCUAGAGUCCGGUAGGGGAGCGUGGAAUUCCUGGUGUAGCGGUGAAAUGCGCAGAUAUCAGGAGGAACACCAGCGGCGAAGGCGGCGCUCUGGGCCGGAACUGACGCUGAGGAGCGAAAGCGUGGGGAGCAAACAGG
rnacentral:rRNA from 1 species